GAGGUGAGAGCUCCAAACUUGAAGCGGCGCCACGGCCAAGGUGUCCUCUGUCGCCAUUGCAGGAGCUGCGAGGGUGCGCGAAUCCGAAUGGUGGCUGAUUGGUGAACCUAGAGCACCCUUUGCCCCAGGUUCUAGCUCUGGCCCGGUUUUUUCUCUUUACAUUUAAGCUGUAGGCAGAGGAAAUCCUCGUUAGAGGCCUUCUCCCCACCCCGCUUCUCAGCCACAAACUGUUGUUUCAUUAGGAAUCUCACCAGAAACCCGUUUUCAGGUGAAGGCCGAGUACUCAGCCCCUUGUGGUGCCUGGUUUUACUUGAUCACAUUGUAAUUCCAUCCUAGGAACCACUCUAUAAGUUCACUUAACAGAGAGAAGUGGAGUGGUUCUUAGCAACCUUUUGCGAUGUAACUUAACCACCAAAGAGAUAUCUGGCUAAUAUGGCAGCUCUCGAGAAGUCCGUAUUUACACGUUGAAAGAGGGGGAAAGCGACACCAAGAAUCCAUUCCAAACGAAAAACCAAGAGGAGACGCGGCAGCUCCUAGAUGUUGAUGUUUUGUUUUUUUGACAUAAAUCUUCGCAC
rnacentral:lncRNA from 1 species